CAGGCUCUGAGUGGACAGAGACUGGUAUGAGUGGACAGAGACUGGUAUAGGGAGUCAGGAGACUUAAGUUCCAGUUGUGCUUUGGCAGGGAUAAGCCCUUUCUCCCACCCCUAUCACCUCUGCAGGCAGUUGCCAGACCAUCAGGCCAGUCUGGACAGAGGAUCUGAAGGAAGGAGGUGGGGCAGGGGAAGGGAGGCCAGAGCAGAAGGUCAGGACAGGGAGAGAAUUCAAGGAAAUGCUUCUUCACACGGCUGCCGUCAAUGGGAGUACCCAGGCCCCACGUAGGGUGGAGUGGGACAGGGAGCCAGAGGUGGGAAUAGAGACUGGCUGGAGGCAGCCCAUUGUGGCCGCCCGGGAGUCUUGGCAAUGGGACAGGUAAACAGGCUGGGUAAACUGCCCCCCUGCCGGGUCAGGAAGGAACCAAUGGCUGCCCGGUGCACAACCUCUGGCCUGGCUGGAGGCAGGAAGAUGAACUGGGCCUGAGUAAUGGCCUGGCCGCCUUGCCAGCCCCUGCCCCCCAUCCUCUAGGCUGGAAAAGGAGGAAAUGACACAGCCUCUAUUCCCUAGGGAGUUCUCCAUCCACGCCAAGUCCCAGGGAGUGCAACCUGACUGAAUCUCGGCAGGCUGCCAGCCUUCCUCUCAGGAGGAGAAUAAUUCAUACUAAGGUGAGGAGGACUGCCAGAACAUGGGAGAUGCCUAAGAACAGAAAUGGUGAGCCCCAGACCUAGCUCCAGCCUUGCUAACAGGCUGUCAGAAGCCACCACAGGCCUCUUCUCUUGAGGCCCGGAGGGGAACUGAGACCAGAGAGGGAUGCCAGAGGCCCUAAGUCACACACCCCAAAGCACAAAGGCACCUCCGAGUGCUCAUCUUACUCACUCCAGCUGGCUCCUUCCUGCAGCCCAGCUUCCCCCUGGAUGCUGAGCCGGCCUCGGUUCUCAAAGCCUCCGGGGAAAGGCAGCCAAUUGCCUCGCUGACAAAGAGAGGAAAAUCCCACUUCGAAGGCAACGGAGGAGCUGGAUGUGACUUCUCUCCUCCACAGAUGACUCAGCCCAGCUCUUUAUCAGGAAAAGCGAUUUUGCAACAGCUUUUUAAAUGGCCUCUCCGCCCCCAGUCUCUCCUCCGCCAAUCUACCCGCCCCGUGCUGCCAGAUUCAUCUCCCUCUGCCUGGCUUCGCUCACUUCUCUCUCCUGCCUCCCCAGGAUGUGAAGGAUCGAACAGCAAGUCCUCAUCCUGGCAUUCAGGGCCCCUGACACCGGGGCUCGCCUGAGAGCUUGCUAACCUGCUCCCUGUUCCCUCAGCAGCGGCCAGAGAAGAUCCAAUGGCUCUUGCUUCCCAUCGGCGCCCUGUGAGUUCCCGCCUCCCGAGUGUGCUUUGCACCCGACCCCUCUACCUGGAACCUUCUCUGUCUCACAUCCUUUCUACCUGCCCCAGCCUUCCCACCUUGCUCACAUGCCGCCGCUCCCUCCGAAAGGCCUCGCCUGGUCCACCAAUGUUUUCUCUGCGCCACUUCAUCAUAACCUCAUCACUCUGCAUAUUAUUCACAUGAGUGAGAAUUACCCUUCGGGGCGUGCUCACCACCUGCCAGGUCCUUGCUUCAUUUAUAGCAACCCUUGAGGUCAGCAGUACCUUCGUCUCCAUGGGCUCAGAGGGGUGAGGUGACCUGCUCGAUGUGGCACAGCCAGGUAGAGGCAGGGUUGGAAUUCAAACAGGGUGGCCCAGCGCCCAGGCCAGGGCCCAUCACACCGGCCACACUGCCUCCUCCCAAGGUCUUGCUCUACAGCAAUCACAGUCUCGGUCUUAUCCCCCAUUCCCACCUCCCUGCAGACUACAGAAACCUCCAGGGCAGGGGCCUCAAAGGCUUCAUCUCUGUGUCCCCCUCCCCCCGUCCCCCACACCUUCCACGCGUGCUUGCAGAAUAACAAUGAAGUCAAUGAGGAUGACAGCAGCCAACAUGUGAGGAGUCCCAGCUACUGCUGAGCUAAGGGGUUAGCAUGUAUUUUCUCAUCGAAACCUCACCGCAACUCAUGAGAGAGGCUCCCUGACCUCUGUGGAGGAAAAAGAGACUCACAGAUUUAGAGAGCUCACCCCAGACCUCACAGCCAGCAAGCGGCAGGCAGAGCAGAGCUGGAUCUGGGAGUCUGAUUCCAGGCCUGGGCCUCUCCUUCUGAAGAGCUCAUUUUCCCCAUCCACUGUUCCAGGCCCAGCCCAACUGCCACUUCCUCCAGGAAGCCCUCAUCAAUCCAUCUGGACUCCCAAGAUCAGUGCUCCACUCCCGCUCAAGCUGGCCCAGGGGCCUCAGGGCAGAAGGGGUCAGAGGAAAUGACAAGUUGAGAAAGCUUAGGACCAAGGCCUGAGGGGAAGCAGACCUGGCCCAACUCCUGGGACUUGAAUAUGGUGACCCGGAGAGAGGCAGGCUCAGUCCCAGGUGCAUGGCCAACUGGAAAGGACUGGUUCAUGGAGAACCAUGCUCAGCCUCAGGCCCCCACUUCCCAGAACAGCCCUGGUAAGCCAGGCCUGCCCAGCCCCGUCCUCUCCUGUCACACCAGCCUCCAUCACCCCAGCCCUGGGAGCCUCGGGACAGAAAGGACUGCCACACCCUGCCCUUCCAGACAUGUUUAAUCCAGGAGACAAAAG